rnacentral:rRNA from 1 species
GACGAACGCUGGCGGCAUGCCUAACACAUGCAAGUCGAACGAAACCUUCGGGUCUAGUGGCGCACGGGGGCGUACCGCGUGGGAACCUACCCGUAGGUUCGGAAUACCUCCCCGAGAGGGGUGCUAAUGACGGAUAGUCUCUUAGCGCCAAGGAUUUAUCGCCUUUGGAUGGGCGCGCGUUGGAUUCGCUGGUUGGUAGUGUACAAGCCUACUAUGGAGUCGUUCCAUAGCUGGUCGGAGAGGAUGAUCAGCCAGGCUGGGACUGAGGCACGGACCAGAAUCCGACGGAAGGCUGGAGUGGAGUAUAUUGUACAAGGGGCGAUAGUCUGACCAAGCAACGCCGGGGGAGUGAUGAAGGCCGUAGGGUUGUAAAGCUCUUUUACACGGGAUGAUAAUGACAGUACCGGGAGAAUAAGCACCGGCUAACUCCGUG